rnacentral:rRNA from 1 species
GUGAGGAAUAUUGGACAAUGGGCGCAAGCCUGAUCCAGCCAUGCCGCGUGCAGGAUGAAGCAUCUAUGGUGUGUAAACUGCUUUUAUACGGGAAGAAACCCCGCCUCGUGAGGCGGACUGACGGUACCGUAAGAAUAAGGACCGGCUAACUCCGUGCCAGCAGCCGCGGUAAUACGGAGGGUCCAAGCGUUAUCCGGAAUCAUUGGGUUUAAAGGGUCCGUAGGCGGCCCGAUAAGUCAGUGGUGAAAUCUCCCGGCUCAACCGGGAAAUGGCCAUUGAUACUGUCGGGCUUGAAUUAUUAGGAAGUAACUAGAAUAUGUAGUGUAGCGGUGAAAUGCUUAGAUAUUACAUGGAAUACCGAUUGCGAAGGCAGGUUACUACUAAUAUAUUGACGCUGAUGGACGAAAGCGUGGGUAGCGAACAGGAUUAGAUACCCGUGUAGUCC